GUGGGUAUAGCUCAGUGGUAGAGUGGGUGCUUAGCAUGCAUGAGGUUCUAGGUUCAAUGCCUAGGACCUCCA
rnacentral:tRNA from 1 species